UACGUAGGGGGCAAGCGUUGUCCGGAAUCAUUGGGCGUAAAGCGCGUGUAGGCGGCUUGGCAAGUCCGCUGUGAAAACUCGAGGCUCAACCUCGAGCUGUCGGUGGAAACUGCCUGGCUAGAGUCCGGAAGAGGAGUGUGGAAUUCCUGGUGUAGCGGUGAAAUGCGCAGAUAUCAGGAAGAACACCUAUGGCGAAGGCAGCACUCUGGGACGGUACUGACGCUGAGACGCGAAAGCGUGGGGAGCGAACAGG
rnacentral:rRNA from 1 species